rnacentral:rRNA from 1 species
UCUGUCUUAGUGGCGGACGGGUGAGUAACGCGUGGGCAACCUGCCCUGUACCGGGGAUAACACUUAGAAAUAGGUGCUAAUACCGCAUAAUAGGGAAUACCGCAUGGUAAUCCUUUGAAAACUCCGGUGGUACAGGAUGGGUCCGCGUCUGAUUAGCCAGUUGGCGGGGUAACGGCCCACCAAAGCGACGAUCAGCAGCCGGCCUGAGAGGGUGGACGGCCACACUGGGACUGAGACACGGCCCAGACUCCUACGGGAGGCAGCAG